CUGGUAGUUCAGUUGGUUAGAAUGCCAGCCUGUCACGCUGGAGGUCGAGGGUUCGAGUCCCUUCC
rnacentral:tRNA from 3 species